UACGUAGGGUGCAAGCGUUGUCCGGAAUUAUUGGGCGUAAAGAGCUCGUAGGCGGUCUGUCGCGUCGGCUGUGAAAACCCGGGGCUCAACCCCGGGCCUGCAGUCGAUACGGGCAGACUAGAGUGUGGUAGGGGAGACUGGAAUUCCUGGUGUAGCGGUGAAAUGCGCAGAUAUCAGGAGGAACACCGGUGGCGAAGGCGGGUCUCUGGGCUGACACUGACGCUCAUGCACGAAAGCGUGGGGAGCAAACAGG
rnacentral:rRNA from 1 species